GAUGAACGCUGGUGGCGUGCCUAACACAUGCAAGUCGAGCGAUUCUCUUCGGUGCAGAGCGGCGGACGGGUGAGUAACGCGUGGGUAACCUGCCCUGUACACACGGAUAACAUACCGAAAGGUAUGCUAAUACGAGAUAACAUGCUUUUAUCGCAUGGUAGAAGUAUCAAAGCUUUUGCGGUACAGGAUGGACCCGCGUCUGAUUAGCUAGUUGGCGAGGUAACGGCUCACCAAGGCGACGAUCAGUAGCCGACCUGAGGGGGUGAUCGGCCACAUUGGAACUGAGACACGUACCGAACUCCUACGGGAGGCAGCAGUGGGGAAUAUUGCACAAUGGGCGAAAGCCGAAUGCAGCAACGCCGCGUGAGUGAUGAAGGACUUCGGGUCGUAAAGCUCUGUCCACAAGGAAGAUAAUGACGGUACUUGAGGAGGAAGCCCCGGCUAACUACGUG
rnacentral:rRNA from 1 species